UGGAACACGGGCCUCGACUGUUUACCAAAAACAUAGCCCUCGGCCAAUAUGAAAAUAGAUGUAUAGAGGGUGAGGCCUGCCCAAUGGUUGUAUCUAAAAGCGGUUGAUAAAAGUCGACCUCGUAAGGACAAUUGAAUGGCCGCGGUAACACUGACCGUGAUAAUGUAGCGUAAUCAAUAGCCAAUUAAUUGUUGGCCAGUAUGAAUGGCGCCACGAAGGCCCCACUGUCUUAAGGAAAUUCCCAGUGAAAUUGAAUUCGUAGUGAAGAUGCUACGUCCAAUUUGUUAGACGAAAAGACCCCGUUGAGCUUUACUGGGGCACUUACACGGCCCCGGCCUUCCAAACUAGGCUUACUAUGCCUAGAGGUCGGCCGAAUUUAAAUGGGUGGUUUAGAUUAUGUGGCAGCCCCCCGUCGGGGCAGAUGAAACCCCACUCCCCCAUGUCAAAGGGGCUAACCCCCCCCUUGGGGGGGGACAGUGUAAGUAGGACAGUUUGGUUGGGGCGACCGCCUUUUAAAGAGUAACGAAGGUGCGCUUAAGGUGCGCAAAUAAUGACUGAAGCCUGACUGCGAGGGGGACACCCCGAGCAGACACCCCCAAGCCUGCCCUAAGGGCGGCGGUGGGGUGGGCCAUAGUGACCCGUUAAUUUAGAGUGGAAUAGUUAACGAUCAACGAAUAAAAG
rnacentral:rRNA from 1 species